GGGAUGAUACUGACGCUGAGGCACGAAAGCGUGGGGAGCAAACAAGGAUUAGAUACCCCUGGUAGUCCACGCCCUAAAACGAUGAAUGCUAGUCGUCGGGGAGCUCGUCUCUUCGGUGAUGCACUUAACAGAUUAAGCAUUCCGCCUGGGGAGUACGGUCGCAAGAUUAAAACUCAAAGGAAUAGACGGGGACCCGCACAAGUGGUGGAGCAUGUGGUUUAAUUCGAAGAUACACGAAGAACCUUACCUGGCCUUGACAUCCCGAGAACCCUUAAGAGAUUAGGGGGUGCUAGCUUGCUAGAACUCGGUGACAGGUGCCGCACGGCUGUCGUCAGCUCGUGUCGUGAGAUGUUGGGUUAAGUCCCGCAACGAGCGCAACCCUCGUCCUUAGUUGCUAACAGUUCGGCUGAGCACUCUAAGGAGACUGCCUUCGUAAGGAGGAGGAAGGUGAGGACGACGUCAAGUCAUCAUGGCCCUUACGGCCAGGGCUACACACGUGCUACAAUGGGGCGUACAAAGAGCUGCAAUACCGCGAGGUGGAGCCAAUCUCUUAAAGCGUCUCUCAGUUCGGAUUGUUCUCUGCAACUCGAGAACAUGAAGCUGGAAUCACUAGUAAUCGUAGAUCAGCUAUGCUACGGUGAAUACGUUCCCGGGUCUUGUACUCACCGCCCGUCACACCAUGGGAGUUGAUUUCACCCGAAAUCGGGAUGCCAAACUGGCUACCGCUUAUCGGUGGAAUUAGCGACUGGGGUGAAGUCGUAAGCAAGGUAACC
rnacentral:rRNA from 1 species